UUCAAAUUGAUAAAUUCCUCAGGUAUGUUUGAUUAUUUUCAACUAAAUGUUGUGUCAGAAGCUAACAAAGACAAAACAACUCAACUCUCCUUCUCAAACAGAAAGCAUCGAACUCAAAGCCCCUCAAUGACAUUUCACCUAGGGGUGUAAACGAACCGAGUCGAGUCGAGCUUCAGCUUGAUUCGUUAAAAUUUUUUCGAGUUCGAGCCGAAUUCGAGCUUUACUCAUAUUGAACUCGAGCCGAGUAUUAAGAAGUUCAAGCUUGGCUCGUUUAGCAAACGAGCUUUUAUCGAGCUGAGUCGAGCUUUUAUCGAGCUGAGUAAUUUAAUUUAUUUACAUGUAUAAUGAGUUUUAGUUUAAAACUAAUAAGUUUAAAACUAAAGUAAUUUUAGUUAAAUUAGUAUAUCUACAAAUUAGCAUGUAAACUUAUAAAGAUGAGUUUUUAAAUCUUAAUAAUCCAAAUAUAUGCAAUUUUAAGAGUGUAACUAAACUAUAUAGAGCUGAAUUUUAAAAAAUUUAGAUUUUGCUCAUUAAAGUAUAUGCAGGGUUUAAGUUUAUUUCUCUUAUGAUAGUAAUUUCAGUUUGCUUAACGAGACCGUUCACGAGCCUAUUCGCGAGCCUGCUCAUAAAUUCAGAAAUGAGCCGAACUCACGAGUCUUAACAAGCCGAAUACUAUGGAGUUCAAGCUUGGCUCGUUUACCAAACGAGCCUAAAAAUUAAGCUCGAGCUUGGCUCGUUUAGAAAUCGAGUCGAGCUCGGUCGAGCUUUUAUCGAAUCAAACCUCGAAUAGCUCACGAACGGUUUGGUUCAUUUACACCCCUAAUUUCACCCAAUAAGAAAUACAAGAAGCAGGUCAUCGUCAAAACUCAGAAACACGAGAACCACCUUUGGAAGAGCAUAUCCACGGUUGAAGGAAUUGGGUCUGAUUAAAGACCACCAAAAAAAAGAGCUUGACCACAGAAAGAAGAUCGAUCGGCCAAAAAUAAAAGCCAUCAGAUCCGUUGCCGCGAGGAGGCACCGAAUCCCUCCCUUUCACAGAUCCGAUGAUUCAGGAUCACCAUGGUGGCUUAGAAGCCUGAUACCAACUCCAAGAUAUAUUCACCGCUAAACAGAGCCCCUCGUCCAUUAUGCAUGUCUUAAAGUCAAGCAGGAGUCGAAGGAACUCGCAUGAAGCAUAACCUACGCAAAAACAAAGAAAAAGGAAAAACCAGAAAACAAGCAAAGAAUGAAUAUAGUAUAUACACCCUCCAUUCAAAGGUGGAAAGGAAAUCCUCACUUUGAGAGAAAAGGAAGACGACUCCCCCACAAAAAAGGACAUAAGAAACUCCUCUCCUGCAAACAAGCGGGUUCUUUUCUAAAAAAACACAAAACCAGAGAAAAGGGACGUUCUCACUUUAGAACACUAGAGAGGGAACAGUGUGCAUCUUAUUAGUUGUAAUAAACUUAUUACAAUUUAAGUACAAUUGUAAAUUAGAACCAAUUGAACUUAUUAUACAAACUUAAAAAUUAAGCCAUAUUUCGACCAAUAGUUUUUAUAAAAUAAUGUACUAACUAAAUAAUAAUUAAUUAAAUGUAAA
rnacentral:lncRNA from 1 species